rnacentral:rRNA from 1 species
GCACCACAAGAACGCGUGGAGCAUGUGGCUUAAUUUGACUCAACGCGGGAAAUCUUACCGGGUCCGGACACACUGAGGAUUGACAGGCAAUAUCUUGGCUGUUUAAUAACCGUUUAUUAAUAAACGGUUUAUUAAACAGAUCGAGUGUUAAAUAUGCUAGUCCUUUCAUGAUUAUGUGAUAGGUGGUGCAUGGCCGUUCUUAGUUCGUGGAGUGAUCUGUCUGCUUAAUUGCGUUUCACUAAGGGCCCAUAAAUUCAAGGUAUGUUAGCAAUCGUCGCUCUAUGGACCCCUUAUUUCAGUUUAUUAAUAAACUGUUAUAAGCGCGCGUCUUGUUUAAAGAGUUUAAGACACUGCGCAUGCUGUUGGGCUCUGAAAGCAACGAACGUGACCGCAACGUCUUGUUGCCUUAAUCAAGUCGGCUGUUUAAUCUGUUUAAUUAAACAGAUAGCAGUCAUUAUGGCUUAUCCGAGGCUAUUUAAAACUAGACGAACCGCUGUCUCUUUUCUUAAACCAGAGGAAGGUUGCGGCAAUAACAGGUCUGUGAUG